UGCCCUCCCAAAACCUCUCCACAGGACAGAAUGAAGACCCUAGCUCCUGCUCUGAUCUGAAGGUCAAGUUAGCAAGUCAGGACCUGAAUCUCCAUUGGUGAAGUGCUCUAAGUCUGGAAAGAAGUUCAGAGCCAACCACAGGACCCCACUUUUGAGCUGACAGCUGGUGUGGCAUCUGCUAAGUUAUCACACUCGAUGUGCUAUCUGCUUCCUUGCUACAUCUAUGUUCAUGGGAUAAUGUGUCAAGGCAGGAAUUCAGUGUGCAGUGAGUAUAUACCACUACAAUGCACAGCUAUAACACCAGAAGUUUUCAUGUUUAGAGACUUGGCAGUGCACAUACAAGAUGCUUCAACUACCCAGCAUCCUUUGAAAAUCAGGGGGCCAGGUCUGGGGGAGCAAAAAGUGUGUGAGGGAAUUGGGGUAGCUUCUCCUUACUUGAUUUAAAACUGGUUUGUAUGGACCUUUUAGAGAAGCCAGAGACUGGCAGGGGAGCUAUGCCUUUGAAACCUGCACAUCAUUUGAAUUAAAAAGGGACUUUGAUAUGAAGCAAAGGCAUCACCGGCUUUGCCAGUAGCUCUGCCCAAGACCCCUCUAAACUUAACUCAGCCGAGAAGGAUAAGAAAGAAUUUUAUCUUAGGAUCUGGCCUGGUCAUGCUGGUUUUUAAAGAUUCUGUAUAUUUUUGCAAACAGAUGCUUUGAAUAUCUAAUAUAGCUCUAUGGUAAGCUUACAUCUCGGUGAGCUGGGUUUUUUUUUGUUGUUGUUGUUUUUUUUUUUGCAAAGUAAAAGGAAUCUUAAACUUUUUAUUGAAAAUAUAAAAGGGCUUAUUUUGUUUAUUUGUCCUAGAUAAGCAAAAAGAGUUGUGGAGUGAAAACAUUGCACACACGUAAAUAACAUUGUAUUCACAUAAAUAAAAAGCAUGGUGAG